AUUUACAUUUGAGUGAGUGGCGAACUGGUGAGUAACACGCGGGAAACCUGCCCAGAAGCGGGGGAUAACACCUGGAAACAGAUGCUAAUACCGCAUAACAACUUGGACCGCAUGGUCCGAGCUUGAAAGAUGGCUUCGGCUAUCACUUUUGGAUGGUCCCGCGGCGUAUUAGCUAGAUGGUGGGGUAACGGCUCACCAUGGCAAUGAUACGUAGCCGACCUGAGAGGGUAAUCGGCCACAUUGGGACUGAGACACGGCCCAAACUCCUACGGGAGGCAGCAGUAGGGAAUCUUCCACAAUGGACGAAAGUCUGAUGGAGCAACGCCGCGUGAGUGAAGAAGGGUUUCGGCUUGUAAAACUCUGUUGUUAAAGAAGAACAUAUCUGAGAGUAACUGUUCAGGUAUUGACGGUAUUUAACCAGAAAGCCACGGCUAACUACGUGCCAGCAGCCGCGGUAAUACGUAGGUGGCAAGCGUUGUCCGGAUUUAUUGGGCGUAAAGCGAGCGCAGGCGGUUUUUUAAGUCUGAUGUGAAAGCCUUCGGCUCAACCGAAGAAGUGCAUCGGAAACUGGGAAACUUGAGUGCAGAAGAGGACAGUGGAACUCCAUGUGUAGCGGUGAAAUGCGUAGAUAUAUGGAAGAACACCAGUGGCGAAGGCGGCUGUCUGGUCUGUAACUGACGCUGAGGCUCGAAAGUAUGGGUAGCAAACAGGAUUAGAUACCCUGGUAGUCCAUACCGUAAACGAUGAAUGCUAAGUGUUGGAGGGUUUCCGCCCUUCAGUGCUGCAGCUAACGCAUUAAGCAUUCCGCCUGGGGGAGUACGGCCGCAAGGCUGAAACUCAAAGGAAUUG
rnacentral:rRNA from 1 species